CCCUUAGAUGUUCUGGGCCGCACGCGCGCUACAAUGAUGAAUUCAACGAGUUUAUAACCUUGGUUGAAAAGCCUGGGUAAUCUUUUGAACUUUCGUCGUGAUGGGGCUAGACCCUCGCAAUUAUUGGUCUCCAACGAGGAAUUCCUAGUAAACGCAAGUCAUCAGCUUGCAUUGAUUACGUCCCUGCCCUUUGUACACACCGCCCGUCGCACCUACCGAUUGAAUGGUCCGGUGAAAUCUUCGGAUUGAGACUUUGAUUUCUUCACGGAAAACGCUGUUUUAAAAAGUUGAUUAAACCUUACCAUUUAGAGGAAGGUGAAGUCGUAACA
rnacentral:rRNA from 1 species